UUAAGUUUUUCCGACAACAUCAAGAUCAUGUCUUUGUCCAACGAUUCUAAUUUAGUCGACAUUAUUUCUUAGGUAUAUAUUUUAUCGAUAAUCGUAACAACUUUAAUUUUUUGUGGAGCGAAUCGAACCGUUUAAACCAACUUUAAUCCUCCGUGAAGCGGAUCCCACCGCUGCCACCAAAAAUUUAAAUCUCUAAUGUUACGUAUCAAUUUGUUUGUUUAAAUCGAUCAAAUCUUAAGUUUAAAUUUUACUAAAAAAUUUCUUUUUUCGUUUGAGUUUGAAUUUAAUCUGAAGGGAAAUAAAUUGAAUUGAUAUUAUUGUGUAUGUAAUACUGAUUUAGAUUUCUAAUUAAUACGGUAGUUGCUGCCACCAGAAAUAGUCUAAGGACUAUUUCAAAAUAUUUUAUUUUUUAUUAUUUUUUUUCGUUUAAUGGGUAGCGUUAACUGACGCUUAAUGCAACUGCUAAACGAUUUCCACUUUUCGGCUAACCUGCUAUGUGCAGGGAUAUUGGCACGGGAGAGGAUUAAAGCUGGGAACAAUAAAUAUUUGUCCUCGUUAAACGGAUUUUUAUUUGAAUGUAGAAUUGCUUAGAUUAUUACCUUUAUAUAUAUUUUAUUAGCCGGAUAUAUAUAUUUUAGCGUUGCUGGAUUGGAUAGGAAUGUGAGAUUUUUCGUUGUUUUAUAUAAAUUUAUUUUUACGUUUGACUUCUUCUUCUCUUUUAAUUUCGCUGUAGUAGUUUGCCGUUAGAACCGAAACUCAAUUCAUUUACUACGAUGGAUUCUGUUACCAUGAUUUUCUUGCCUUUUGAGUUUAAUAAUCGAGGAUGAUUCUAACGAUCCUCUCUGUGUGGGACUCGUGUGAUUUCGCAAGCCUUGCCCAAAGACGGGUAAUAUUUUACCAACAGUGGGAGGAGGAAUGCGAAGAUCGAUGGGUGUUUUCGAUAAUCGAAAACACCGUUUGCACAAGCCAACACAGCGAACGAUCCUUUGGUUAAAUUUUCGAAGGGAAAUUGUUCUGCUAUUUCUCUCUUACAAUCGCAUGCAAUGAUGGCAAGAAUAUCGGUUAAUAGCAAUGCCGGUAUUGCUCUUAAUUUUCGAUUGACCCCGACGAUGUAUUUAAUGGUCCUCUCUGUGCGGGACUUGUGUGAUUUCGCAAGCCUUGCCCAAAAACGGACAAUAUUUUGCCAACAAUGGGAGGAGGAAUGCGAAGAUCAGUGGGUGUUUCAGUAGCUGAAAAUACCGUUCGCACAAGCCGACACAGCGGACAACUCCUUUGUUUAAAGUUUAAACAAUGAUUCUAUCUUCAAAACCGUUCACGAAAAUAAAACGAGAUCGAUGAUAGGAAGUUCUAAUUCGAUUCUCGAGGGCAACGAGAUUAUCAGAGAAGAAGGAAAUUUUCAAAAUUAAUUUUCUUACCUUGAGGAGUAGGUGCUGUCUGGUGCCAUUACCUCAGCUGCUCCGGUGGUCGUCGAAGUUUUUGUUGGGUUUAUUACUUGAACUCGAAUAUAGUUUACUAUCAACUUUUACUUUAUUUAUCUAUUUCGAUACAGACUGAACAAUUUACUAACUGGAUUAAUACCGCAAUUACAAUGCGCAUUUCUGUCUAAGCGAUGAAAUGAGGACUUCAAAGAUAAAAUCUUUCUUUUACUUAGUCGCGGUUCUCUUUUCUUGACCGAAAAACUAAAGACCCCGAAACGCAAAAUACUAUACAAAAUUUCUAAACGCAAUGAUGAGCGCAAUAACGAACGUAGUAACAAUGAACACAAAAUAUAAUGAGCACAAGAAUAAUGAACGGUAAUAACAAUGAUCACUAUAAUAAUGAACGCAAGGAUAAUAAACGUAAUACGAAUGAUCCGUAAUAACAAUGGACACAAAAUAUAAUGAGCGUAAUAAGAAUGUUCACCAGAAUAAUAAUGAGCGCUGCUCUAUGUUGCUUCGCUUAUUUAUAAUGCCAUCCCCCACGGGGUGGUGGUCCACUGGGGGUACGCUUCCGUGGGAAUCGGGAUGUUGCAGUUUGGGUUUCUUGGAAUCGUACGUGACAAAAUGUAAAUUCCGUAUUUCGACUUAGUUUUUAUCGGUCCUGUGCUUCUGCUGAGCUAGCGUCUAGGAGGCUUGAAGCAUUCCAUGCUGAUCUAGUAUUUUCCGCGAGAAACUUCUAUGUUUUGUACCGUGGGAAUUACCCGUGUUUCUUCGGCGCGUGCAAGGGCCGGCGGCUGCAGCAUCAUUAUCACCUCGAUGUUUGCUCGGGCAACACGCGCAAUUCCGCUGCUCUCCCACAACAAGGACCUCCUUCUUCGAGUUAUUUUUCGCUUCGGUGAUCGUCGUUCGGACAAUGUUUGCGGAGGCAUUUCCAUCAGAGGUUCCUUAUUAUUAUUAUUUUUUAGAUGUAUUUUGUUUUAUAUACGAUAUAUAUAUAUAUAUAUAUAUAUGUCGGAACGAACAUUAGAAUUAGGGUUAGGGGCGUGAAACGAAUCUUCGUUUGGGUUACACGUUGUCGUUAUGCAAUAGAGAAGACAUUGACUAGUGCAAAUACGAUUAUUAUAGAACCGGACAAGUAACCGCGGUAGUUAGGUACUCGAGAAACUAAUGACAAUGAUCCUAGGUUCAAUAACGAAUCCGCGGUCGACGGGAUGAUAGAUGAACGUACUCACAAAAUCUAAGUCGGACGCGUAAUAUUCACUGAUCGUAAAGAGUUACUCCUUUCAUCAGUGAGAUCACGAGCGAGAAUGCCUUUCCCGUCCCGAUGAUGCCACAGAGGAAAACUAUAAUGGGGUGUGUCUAAGGACACGAGAUCAUCGGAUUCGUCGAGAAAAGCCUUCGUUCAGAAAGUAAGGGAAAUUGGCGUUGCUGCUAAUUGGUCAAUUUCCAUAUCGGUGGUUAGAAAAAGAUGCUAGCCGCCCUCGAGGGAAAGUUGCUAGUGGGAGACGCCGCUCGUUGAAAAAUAUGUUUCCCCUAUCUUCCCGUAGUUGGGACAAAGACUGUUUGUCUGUUUGAAGGACUUUAGUUAACUAAACCUUAAGAUUUAUAACGGGCCCUCGGGCUAGCCGAACAUGUACUGCGGAGACGCAUCGACAUCUGGCAAUCAUCUUACUCGAAGAAUAGGGUCUGCGUGUGGCGAGCCACGGGACAGAAACCGUUGGAAUGUUUAUUGUCGCGUGUCGCCACGAAUAUUUCUUUUAAGGAGAGCUAUAGAAUUACUCGAUACCUGUUGUUAGGCAAAGCGUUCAUCCCUUGACCGCGGCUACGUUGGGCGACAGACUGUCACCUCGAGCCAAAGCUCACCGUCACUAAUCUCGAACAAUUACAAUCGGAUUGAAUAACUACAAUAGUUUAGUUACAGUUAUAGUAGACUUUAGAUUGCAAUGUUGCGGGGCUAUCCAAAGGUUCCGGUGUCCUUUCAUCUCCGACAUAUAGAUAUACAUGUAUAUGUGACGAAAUAUACUAAAGCAAUAUUGACCCUU